ACCCUAACAACCCAAAAUCCAUCAAAUUGAAAGGGAAAUUGAAGGUUUAUCGUAUGCAUGAACUAGGAAUGUUAAUCACUUGAGGAUCUCCAACAUCAAGGUCGAAGAAAGGAGCGGAAUCAAACCAAGCAAAGGCAAUCGGAGCGCACGACUCCGGGUCGAAGAAAGGAGCGGAAUCAAACCAAGCAAAGGCAAUAGGAGCGCACGACUCCGGUGAAUCUCACUCUUGAUAAUGGCGAGCUUGGAUCGAACACACCACAUUGCCCUUUUAUGCGCUUCCGGUUUAAGUCGUCUUUGUAAAUAGGUCAAAACACUUUCAUAAUGUAAAUGUUAAGUUUAUGUCUAGGAUGUUUC